UGGGGAAUAUUGCACAAUGGGCGAAAGCCUGAUGCAGCAACGCCGCGUGAGUGAUGAAGGCCUUCGGGUUGUAAAGCUCUGUCUUCUGGGACGAUAAUGACGGUACCAGAGGAGGAAGCCACGGCUAACUACGUGCCAGCAGCCGCGGUAAUACGUAGGUGGCAAGCGUUGUCCGGAUUUACUGGGCGUAAAGGAUGCGUAGGCGGAUACUUAAGUCAGAUGUGAAAAUCCCGGGCUUAACUUGGGAACUGCAUUUGAAACUGGGUAUCUAGAGGGCGGGAGAGGAAAGUGGAAUUCCUAGUGUAGCGGUGAAAUGCAUAGAGAUUAGGAAGAACACCAGUGGCGAAGGCGACUUUCUGGACCGUAACUGACGCUGAGGCAUGAAAGCGUGGGGAGCAAACA
rnacentral:rRNA from 1 species